UACGUAGGCAGCAAACGUUGUUCGGAAUUACUGGGCGUAAAGGGCGUGCAGGCGGUUUGUUAAGUCUAGGGUGAAAGCUCCCGGCUCAACUGGGAGAGGUCCUUGGAUACUGGCGAACUUGAGGGAUGCAGAGGAAAGUGGAAUUCCCGGUGUAGUGGUGAUAUGCGUAGAUAUCGGGAGGAACACCAGUGGCGAAGGCGGCUUUCUGGGCAUUUCCUGACGCUGAGACGCGAAAGCGUGGGGAGCGAACCGG
rnacentral:rRNA from 1 species